rnacentral:rRNA from 1 species
GGGUCAGUAGGUUGGUCGUGCCACCGGUACGUACUGGUCUCACUGAUUCCUCCUUCCUGAAGAACCGUAAGGCCAUUUAUUUGGUGUUGCGGGGAAACAGGACUGUUACUUUGAAAAAAUUAGAGUGUUUAAAGCAAGCUAACGCUUGAAUACAUUAGCAUGGAAUAAUGAAAUAGGACGAUCGAUCCUAUUUUGUUGGUUUCUAGGAUUGACGUA